rnacentral:misc_RNA from 1 species
CCUCCUUAUACGAUUUAGAACUUAUUUGUUCGUAGUGUCCACACAGAUGAUUGUUAGUUAGUUUUACCCUUUGGGUUAACUAAUUAAUAUGCUCUUUAAAAAUUUGGAAAAGCUGAUAAUAAAAUUCGUAUGAAUAACAUUGUUAUUUGUACAGAGUUUUCAAAAGUAAAAAAGAAUGAUAGCAGUAUCAUUCAGUGCCAAUUUAAUCCUCGGAUUAAUUGGUAUCUACUUUAGUAUUCAAUAUUAACUUCUGGCGAAGUUAAACUGUCACGAAACAAAGACCCGUUUGGGUUGUGUGGUUAAGUGACUAAGCGUACACGGUGGAUGCCUUGGCAGUUGGAGGCGAUGAAGGACGUAUUAACUUGCGAUAAGCCUAGUCAAGCUAGUAAAAAGCACUUGAGACUAGGAUUCCCCGAAUGGGGAAACCCCAAGGGCCGA